UUUAGAAUACCAGUUGAUGACUGCUGUGCAGUGGAAAUAUCGAUCAUCUUUCUUGAUAAAACCUCAGUAUAUCAUCAGGAGCAACAGGCCACAUUUUCAGCUGAAAAUCUUCUUUGCUGUUCUGCUGAAGAAAAAUACUCAUGAACAUCUUGGGUGGCGUAAGGAUCUUUGCAGGAUUCAGUCGCAUAUCUUGGAUCUGAGUUCUGCGCAGCACUGGACACAGACUCUGCACUUUUGACAUUUUCUAGAAAAAGGAUUUUAAAUUUCACAUCAAGUUAAUUAAAAGUCAUCUGAUGUUUCCACUGCAGUACUUCAGGGCCUUUCAGUCAUCCUGGAGAAUGACCCAGAGGAAUUUUACAGGAUGUGUUUCGUAAGUAUUACUGGAUUUUCUGCUCUCAUCAUUUUGUUUUAUUCAAUAUGAAUAUAGUUCUGGUUAUGAAAAAUUG